AAAGAUAUCUCUCAAUAAUUCAAGGACCUCCUUUCAUUUCACUCGGCCCUCUCUUCCCAUUUCUCUCAGACCUCUCUCUCUUUAAGAUAAAAAAAAAAACAAAUAGCUCUCGUCGGCGCCGUCUCUCUCUCGAAACUCUUAUCUCUCUCAUUUCUCUUUGCACUGAGACCCACAUACACACACGCACACCAUCGCACCUGCUUGAGGAAGACACUCAUCGUCAUCAGUAACCUCGUCUUUCUCCCUCUCCUUCUCCUUCUCGUCUCUGCAACUCGGCGACGCAGGAACCCUCCGGCGAGUUUCUUGAAUUUCUCCGGUUAAGUUUUUGGGACGAAAUCGGCUCGGGAAUAGGCACACCCAUCUCCGACGAGGCUGUGGGCGUCGAUGAACUUUCCGAACAUCUCCGACCGUUUCACAGCAAACGAAAGUUAUAAAAACAUUCCUCUCGUCUUGUAUUUUAUUUUGAUACCUAGAUCGGAGUCUAGGGGUGCUCUUUUACAGUCGGUCAGAGCUGUAGAAGCUCCAGCGUUCUUCUCUGAUUCGCACAUCUCCAAAAUAUCGUGAUAUUAUCGGUAAUAUCGCGAUAUCGUCGAUAUUAUUGAUAAUAUUGCGAUAUUUUGAUGAAAACUCAAUGGAUAAGUAUUAAAAUAUCGGUAACUAAAAAAAACCGAUAUUAUGGACGAAAUAUCGUCGAUAAUAUCGGCAUUUCAUACUUUGAGUACCACAUAGAGUUCCUAUCAAGGUCUAAAAUAUCGAUGAUAUCGGAAAUAUCAGUAGUUUAAAAACACGGAAAUUUUGAUGGAAAUACCAGGAUAAUAUCGAUAUUUUAAACCUUGCUCCUACUUUAUUUCAUGCAUUAUUUUAAGUUGCUUUUAAAAUUUUUUGUUUAGGAGGCAUUUUUGUCCAAAAUUUUUUGGUGAAGCUAUGACCCCAUAAUAGAGCCUACUGGCCUUUUAUUCAGCCACAAACGAAACCACCACAAUAAAGCAUUUUACAUAUCCAUAAAGCACCCUAAAAUAGAUCAAUGUUGUUAUGCAGUAUACAUGCA